CCUGGUGGCUCAGAUGGUAAAGCGUCUGCCUGCAAUGCAGAAGACCUGGGUUCGAUCCCUGGGUCAGGA
rnacentral:tRNA from 1 species